UACGUAGGGUGCGAGCGUUAAUCGGAAUUACUGGGCGUAAAGCGUGCGCAGGCGGUGCUGUAAGACAGGCGUGAAAUCCCCGGGCUUAACCUGGGAAUGGCGCUUGUGACUGCAGUGCUGGAGUGUGGCAGAGGGGGAUGGAAUUCCGCGUGUAGCGGUGAAAUGCGUAGAUAUGCGGAGGAACACCGAUGGCGAAGGCAAUCCCCUGGGCCUGCACUGACGCUCAUGCACGAAAGCGUGGGGAGCAAACAGG
rnacentral:rRNA from 1 species